GCCGGUUUGGCUCAGUGGAUAGAGCGACGGCCUGUGGACUGAAGGGUCGCUGGUUUGAUUCCAGCUAAGGGCA
rnacentral:tRNA from 1 species